rnacentral:rRNA from 1 species
GACGAACGCUGGCGGCGUGCUUAACACAUGCAAGUCGAACGAAGAGCGAUGGAAGCUUGCUUCUAUCAAUCUUAGUGGCGAACGGGUGAGUAACGCGUAAUCAACCUGCCCUUCAGAGGGGGACAACAGUUGGAAACGACUGCUAAUACCGCAUACGAUCUGACCUCGGCAUCGAGGAUAGAUGAAAGGUGGCCUCUAUUUAUAAGCUAUCACUGAAGGAGGGGAUUGCGUCUGAUUAGCUAGUUGGAGGGGUAACGGCCCACCAAGGCGAUGAUCAGUAGCCGGUCUGAGAGGAUGAACGGCCACAUUGGGACUGAGACACGGCCCAGACUCCUACGGGAGGCAGCAGUGGGGAAUCUUCCGCAAUGGACGAAAGUCUGACGGAGCAACGCCGCGUGAGUGAUGACGGCCUUCGGGUUGUAAAGCUCUGUUAAUCGGGACGAAAGGCCUUCUUGCGAAUAGUUAGAAGGAUGGACGGUACCGGAAUAGAAAGCCACGGCUAACUACGU